rnacentral:misc_RNA from 1 species
UAUGGUUCUUUCUAGUGAUGUCUUAUCUGAACUUUUCAGGUUAUUGCAAAUAGAGCAUCUGAAAUUCUUGGCCAUAAGCGUGGCGAAAAGCACGUUCACCCAAAUGACCACGUGAACAGAUCACAAUCUUCAAAUGACACAUUUCCUACUGUGAUGCAUAUUGCUGCUGCUAUGGAGAUAAAUAAAAGACUAGUACCAAACUUAAAACAGUUGCAUACUUCACUACACUCGAAGGUUGACUUUAUUUUUUCAUUUGGUCUGUUUUGUUUUAAAAAGUAGGCACAACAAAGUGGGAAACUGGGGAAUUCAACCUUCCCCUUUAGGGAAUUUUGAACACUCUUAAGUGCUGGUCUAACUCCUUGAAUUGGUCAACGGG